GAUGAACGCUGGCGGCGUGCCUAAUACAUGCAAGUCGAGCGAACAGACGAGGAGCUUGCUCCUCUGACGUUAGCGGCGGACGGGUGAGUAACACGUGGAUAACCUACCUAUAAGACUGGGAUAACUUCGGGAAACCGGAGCUAAUACCGGAUAAUAUAUUGAACCGCAUGGUUCAAUAGUGAAAGACGGUUUUGCUGUCACUUAUAGAUGGAUCCGCGCCGCAUUAGCUAGUUGGUAAGGUAACGGCUUACCAAGGCAACGAUGCGUAGCCGACCUGAGAGGGUGAUCGGCCACACUGGAACUGAGACACGGUCCAGACUCCUACGGGAGGCAGCAGUAGGGAAUCUUCCGAAAUGGGCGAAAGCCUGACGGAGCAACGCCGCGUGAGUGAUGAAGGUCUUCGGAUCGUAAAACUCUGUUAUUAGGGAAGAACAAAUGUGUAAGUAACUAUGCACGUCUGGACGGUACCUAAGCAGAAAGCCACGGCUAACUACGU
rnacentral:rRNA from 1 species